rnacentral:sRNA from 1 species
GCCAAGCAUGGUGGUGCACAUCUGUAGUCCCAGUUACACAGGAGACUGAGGCAGGAGGAUCACAUGAGUUCAGGAGUUUGAUGCCAGCCUGGCAACAUAGUGAGACCCUGACUCUU